GUGUCAAAUUCCUCCUUGCUAUCUGCAAAUAAAAUUUGCAGCUCUUUACAUAGUCAAAACACAACUAUUCCUGACUGCUUUUAUAGUUAGGCCAAAUAAAAAAAAAUACUUGGUUAGCGUCACCGCCCGCCUCUCGAUUUUCUGCCGCCUCUGAAUUUUUUUUAAUUUUUUUUUUAUGUAAAUCUCUUCGUUUUACAGCUUAAAACAG